rnacentral:rRNA from 1 species
GACGAACGCUGGCGGCGUGCCUAAUACAUGCAAGUCGAACGCAGUGGGGACGGGUGAGUAACCCGUGGGUAACCUCCCAUCAGAGGGGAUAACCCUUGGAAACAGGUGCUAAACCGAUACUGAUGGAUGGACCCGCGGUGCAUUAGCUUGUUGGUGAGGUAACGGCUCACCAAGGCCUCGAUGCAUAGCCGACCUGAUAGGGUGAUCGGCCACACAGGGACUGAGACACGGCCCAGACUGCUACGGGAGGCGGCAGUAGGGAAGCUUCGGCAAUUGACGAAAGUCUGACCGAGCAGCGCCGCGGUAGUGAAGAAGGUUUUCGGUUCGUAAAACUCUGUUGUUAGAGAAGCGGUAUCUAACCAGAAAGCCACGGCUAACGACGUGCCAGCAGCCGCGGUAAUAC